rnacentral:rRNA from 1 species
GUGGGGAAUCUUAGACAAUGGGGGAAACCCUGAUCUAGCCAUGCCGCGUGAGCGAUGAAGGCCUUAGGGUUGUAAAGCUCUUUCAGCUGGGAAGAUAAUGACGGUACCAGCAGAAGAAGCCCCGGCUAACUCCGUGCCAGCAGCCGCGGUAAUACGGAGGGGGCUAGCGUUGUUCGGAAUUACUGGGCGUAAAGCGCGCGUAGGCGGACCAGAAAGUUGGAGGUGAAAUCCCAGGGCUCAACCUUGGAACUGCCUUCAAAACUCCUGGUCUGGAGUUCGAGAGAGGUGAGUGGAAUUCCGAGUGUAGAGGUGAAAUUCGUAGAUAUUCGGAAGAACACCAGUGGCGAAGGCGACUCACUGGCCCAAUACUGACGCUGAGGCGCGAAAGCGUGGGGAGCAAACAGGAUUAGAUACCCUAGUAGUCC